AUGAAGCUGGAACAUUCCUUCCUGCAGGUGCUGGUCUCCUCCUCCCUAUGGCUGGGGAAAAGUGACCUGGCUGCCCACCUGGCCCUGGCUCACCCAUUCAAUGCCUCCUGGCAGCAAGCUGAGGCAAGUGGCCUUGCUGAGAGCAGGUGUGGCAGGCAGAACUGGCAGGUACAGCUCACCUGGAACAGAGGACAGCCUGUGACUCUGCAACUCGCCUGGGCAGACAGGUUCUCAGCACACAGCACCACCUGGGAUGGCUGCCUGGCUGCCUCCCCGGGGCAGGUUUGUGGAGUCUGGCCGCUGUGCCCAGUGUGGGGCUCCCCUUUGCUACAGGCUUCUUGGCUGCCCCUCCCCCCCACCCCCAGGUCAUGUACCCUAUUGUUUUCCCUAUCAGCUCCAGGAAACUUUGGGCCUGGACCCCCUCCGGGCCUGUGGGGCCAUAAUACAGACCCCAGAUAUGUUCAUUGAACAGCUCGAACGGUCCUGGGGCCAGCAGCGCAUGCGGCAGAACUUGACAUAUAAGGUCAGGUCUGGGGAGCAGUGUCCAGGCAGGGAACCCCCACACGGCUCCACAUGCUGCAGGAGUGCCCCGCUCUGGGACUGUGUGGUCUUGAGUUCCAGUGCUUGUGGGACCCUGGGCAACUCACUUCUCUGCUGUGCAUCUUGGUUUUCUCACCUGUGAAAUUGACACGAUACUCCCUUCCUACCUGGGAUGUGGUGAGGGCUCUGGAAGACAAGAAAAGCAUGUGUUUCCAGCAUAAUAUGCUGGAAACAGAUGGGGAAGGAGGUGGGGUGCUAGUGGGCUUCUCAGGAGGAGGCAGAGGGAGAUCAGGAGCUCAGGUUCCUGGAGGCAUCAGGGACCAGGUCUCCUCCAGCAUCACUACUCGAUGGGCUCCUCAUGGGGCCGAGCACUGUUCUGCAGAGCCUUGGGCAGGAACCCGCCCAUGAAGAACCAGCCCUGGAAGCCCCUUUCCUCUUCUGGGCCUCCCAUCUGGGUUCCUGGGGCUCUUAGACCCAGCCCCCUAAGUGCUCACAGCAGAAAUCCUGCCAUGGUCAGGGUGCAGUGGCUCACACCUAUAAUCCCACCACUUUGGGAGGCUGAGGCGGGAAUCACCUGAAGUCAGGAGUUUGAGACCAGCUUGGCCAACAUGGUGAAAUGCUGUCUCUACUAAGAAUACAAAAAAAUUAGCUGGGCAUGGUGAUGUGCACCUGUAGUCUCAGCUAUCUGGGAGGCUGAGGUGGGAGAAUCACUUGCACCUGGGAGGUGGAGGUUGCAGUGAGCCGAGAUUGUGCCAAUGUACUCCAGCUUGGGCUACAGAGCAAGACUCUGUCUCAAAGAAGAAGAAGAAGAAGAAAAUCCUGCACCAGAGUAUAAGGGAGUGCUGUGGCUGAUGAGGGCUCAGAUGGUGGAUUCCCAGCACAUGUUCUUGCUAGGUGAGGGUCUCCACCUGCAGCUGGCCAUGGGCAUUCUCUUACAUGAUGAGCUCCUGACACAUGGGCCCUCAUUCCAGAGGCAUCGGCCAUCUCAGCCAGACAAGAUGAUCAUGGAGGCCAUGCUGGAGCACGUCCUCAGGGACUCUUGUGUCCAGCAGAGCUUCUGGGGAGAAGUACAGACUGACUAAGCACACUGGCUGCGGCACUCCCUCCACCUAGGGCUCUGUGACCUGCCCAGGGUGAGUCUGCCCUGGGGAAAGGGGCAGCUGGAGGACCAGGGACCCAUGGUGAUGGGGCAGUAUGGAGGGUGGUGCCCACAGAAGGCAGGGGUGUGAGCCAGGCAGCCAGACGCCAGUAUGGUGGCUCUGCCAUUUGCCUGCUGGGUGACUGGGCAGGGCACAUCUCUCUGAGAUUCCAGUGUUUCAUCUGAGGAAUGGAAGCAGCAGC
ensembl:lncRNA